CGUUGCUGAGCGUUACUUAUAAGUGGACUUUUUGGAGUCUUGUAGAGAGUACUGGAAGAAAUUUCAAGAUCAACACAAUGAAACUCUCCGUUGCUCUUCUAGUUUUAUGUUUUUCGUGUCUAUUUAUGUGUUCAAUGGCUKCAUUUCCUUUGAAAUUUCCCGCACAACGUGGAAAGCGAAGUUGGCGRAGACAACCAAAACUUAGUCCAAAUUUAGAAGCAAGAGAAAUGGAGGACUUGUUUUCUGAAACCCAACGACCUGCUAAGCGAGCGUCUCAACAAAUGACAGACAGAUUAUGGMAAGAGUUUCACUAUUGAAUCAAAGAAUGUACAUUCUCUGCUGGUGAUGACAAACGGUGCUAAUAUUCCUGAAUUGCAACGGAACAAGAUAUUUGUGGCGAACAGAAAAAUAAAUGUGAUUAUAUUUUUUUCAUUGUCAAAUAUGCAUAAAAGGGAAUUAAAAUAAAGUUGAAAACAUCAAUUGA